UCCUUCUUUUUUUAUUUGAUGGUCUUAUAAAAUAUUUUGGAACGUUGAGGUUACAUAGCUACCAAAGCAGGUAACCAGUAAAUAAUAGUGUAAAAAUUGGGUUGUUUACUUCCGGUGAUGAUUAUUUUCUUAUAUGCAAUGAAAUGUUGUGUGAAAUUUUCACUGUAUCACUGGAAAGGAUUAAACUUUACACAUGCAAAGUAUUUCUUUGGUUGAAAUAAAGUGUUCACAUGUUCUGAAGAGCAUUCUGUUGAAAAAUCUUAUAUGUGAAUUGGUCUGCGGAUGACACUUCAGCAUUAAAACAAAAGAUAUCAAGUUUUAAUGAAAAAGGAAGGAAGAAGGAA